rnacentral:lncRNA from 1 species
AUGCUCCAAUUCCACCUUCCAGCCCAUACACUUUAUAAGGCUCUUGUUGCUCAAUUCAAUUAUGAUAUUAAUGAGACUCAACUUCAGGCUGAGAAACAUCAGGAAACCCUGCUAAAAGGUUCAGCCACACUGGAGAAUCUGCCACUACCUGAAAUAGUCAUGCUUGCAGCUCCAACUAUUUAUUGGGAAUACUUUCCCCUGCCUAUUUCCACACCUGGCCAAGAUCCUGGCACCUUCUUGGUGAAGCCUUUGCAGACUCCUCCAGACAGCACUGGAACCGACAGCAUGGGAAGCCCCAUGACACUGGGGCUGUGUUUUUACAUUUACUGCCAGUAUAUCCAUGGGAGAGAAAUGUGCUAAUAAUUCUUGAAUGAAUAAAAGAAUAUCCUCUUCUCCAUGGUGUCACCCU